CGAACGCUGGCGGCGUGCCUAAUACAUGCAAGUCGAGCGGACUUUAAAAGCUUGCUUUUAAAGUUAGCGGCGGACGGGUGAGUAACACGUGGGCAACCUGCCUGUAAGACUGGGAUAACUUCGGGAAACCGGAGCUAAUACCGGAUAAUCCUUUUCCUCUCAUGAGGAAAAGCUGAAAGACGGCAUCUCGCUGUCACUUACAGAUGGGCCCGCGGCGCAUUAGCUAGUUGGUGAGGUAACGGCUCACCAAGGCAACGAUGCGUAGCCGACCUGAGAGGGUGAUCGGCCACACUGGGACUGAGACACGGCCCAGACUCCUACGGGAGGCAGCAGUAGGGAAUCUUCCGCAAUGGACGAAAGUCUGACGGAGCAACGCCGCGUGAGUGAUGAAGGUUUUCGGAUCGUAAAGCUCUGUUGUUAGGGAAGAACAAGUACAAGAGUAACUGCUUGUACCUUGACGGUACCUAACCAGAAAGCCACGGCUAACUACGUGCCAGCAGCCGCGGUAAUACGUAGGUGGCAAGCGUUGUCCGGAAUUAUUGGGCGUAAAGCGCGCGCAGGCGGUCCUUUAAGUCUGAUGUGAAAGCCCACGGCUCAACCGUGGAGGGUCAUUGGAAACUGGGGGACUUGAGUGCAGAAGAGAAGAGUGGAAUUCCACGUGUAGCGGUGAAAUGCGUAGAGAUGUGGAGGAACACCAGUGGCGAAGGCGACUCUUUGGUCUGUAACUGACGCUGAGGCGCGAAAGCGUGGGGAGCAAACAGGAUUAGAUACCCUGGUAGUCCACGCCGUAAACGAUGAGUGCUAAGUGUUAGAGGGUUUCCGCCCUUUAGUGCUGCAGCAAACGCAUUAAGCACUCCGCCUGGGGAGUACGGCCGCAAGGCUGAAACUCAAAGGAAUUGACGGGGGCCCGCACAAGCGGUGGAGCAUGUGGUUUAUUUCGAAGCAACGCGAAGAACCUUACCAGGUCUUGACAUCCUCUGACACUCCUAGAGAUAGGACGUUCCCCUUCGGGGGACAGAGUGACAGGUGGUGCAUGGUUGUCGUCAGCUCGUGUCGUGAGAUGUUGGGUUAAGUCCCGCAACGAGCGC
rnacentral:rRNA from 2 species